rnacentral:rRNA from 1 species
UACGGAGGGCGCAAGCGUUGCUCGGAAUUACUGGGCGUAAAGCGCGUGCAGGCGGUCGAGUAAGUCGGUUGUGAAAUCCCCAGGCUCAACCUGGGAACUGCAUCCGAAACUGCUCGGCUAGAGUCCCGGAGAGGGAGGCGGAACUCCCAGUGUAGGGGUGAAAUCCGUAGAUAUUGGGAAGAAAACCGGCGGCGAAAGCGGCCUCCUGGACGGUGACUGACGCUGAGACGCGAAAGCGUGGGGAGCAAACAGG